rnacentral:rRNA from 1 species
GACGAACGCUGGCGGCGUGCUUAACACAUGCAAGUCGAACGGAAAGGCCCUGCUUGCAGGGUACUCGAGUGGCGAACGGGUGAGUAACACGUGGGUGAUCUGCCCUGCACUUCGGGAUAAGCCUGGGAAACUGGGUCUAAUACCGGAUAGGAGCCAUUUUUAGUGUGUUGGUUGGAAAGUUUUUUCGGUGUAGGAUGAGCUCGCGGCCUAUCAGCUUGUUGGUGGGGUAAUGGCCUACCAAGGCGGCGACGGGUAGCCGGCCUGAGAGGGUGGACGGCCGCAUUGGGACUGAGGGGCGGCACAGACGCCGAAGGGAGGAAGCAGGGGGGAAUAUUGAACAAUGGGCGCCAGCCUGAUGCAGCGACGCCGCGUGGGGGAUGACGGCCUUCGGGUUGUAAACUACUUUCGCUAGGGACGAAGCUUUUUGUGACGGUACCUAGAGAAGAAGCACCGGCUAACUACGUG